rnacentral:rRNA from 1 species
GACGUAGGGGACCAGCGUUGUUCGGAAUUACUGGGUGUAAAGGGUUCGUAGGCGGUGCGGCAAGUUGGGAGUGAAAUCUCUGGGCUCAACCCAGAGGCUGCUUCCAAAACUGCUGUGCUUGAGUGUGGGAGAGGCGCGUGGAAUUGCAGGUGUAGCGGUGAAAUGCGUAGAUAUCUGCAGGAACACCCGUGGCGAAAGCGGCGCGCUGGACCACUACUGACGCUGAGGAACGAAAGCUAGGGGAGCAAACAGG